AGGGUUCGAUUAUGGCUCAGGACGAACGCUGGCGGCGCGCCUAACACAUGCAAGUCGAACGGGACUAUUUGGCCGGAAGUUUUCGGAUGGAAGGCCGGAUAGUUUAGUGGCGGACGGGUGAGUAACACGUGAGCAACCUGCCUCUGAGAGGGGAAUAACGGCUGGAAACGGUCGCUAAUACCGCAUAAUGUAUCGGGGGGACAUCCCCCUGGUACCAAAGAUUUUAUCGCUCAGAGAUGGGCUCGCGUCCGAUUAGGUAGUUGGCGGGAUAACAGCCCACCAAGCCGACGAUCGGUAGCCGGACUGAGAGGUUGAUCGGCCACAUUGGGACUGAGACACGGCCCAG
rnacentral:rRNA from 1 species